rfam:TPA: Bos taurus chromosome 12, whole genome shotgun sequence.
CCUGGUAGCUCAGAUGGUAAAGCAUCUGCCUGCAAUGCAGGAGACCUGGGUUCGAUCCCUGGGUCAGGA